AGGGCGUACGGUGAAUGCCUUGGUGCCAACAGGCGAAGAAGGACGCGGCAAGCUGCGAAAAGCCUCGGGAAGCUGCAAGCAAGCGAUGAUCCGGGGAUAUCCGAAUGGGGUAACCUGAUCGAGGCAAUACUCGAUCGUUCAUACCUGAAUACAUAGGGUAUGAAACGCGAAACCCGCUGAAGUGAAACAUCUCAGUAAGCGGAGGAAAAGAAAGAGAAAUCGAUUCCGUAAGUAGUGGCGAGCGAAAGCGGAUGGAGCCCAAACCGAAGGUAUUCCUUCGGGGUUGUAGGACCACGUCAUAUUCGACCAUACUGGAUAGUAGAACAGCCUGGAAAGGCUGGCCGGAGAAGGUGAAAGCCCUGUAGACGAAAUCCAGAGUGGGAAUUAGUGGUAUCCUGAGUAAUACAUCACACGUGGAACGAUGUAUGAACCCGCGCGGACCACCGCGCAAGGCUAAAUACUAGUUGGCGACCGAUAGUGAACAAGUACCGCGAGGGAAAGGUGAAAAGAACCGCUGUGAGCGGAGUGAAAUAGAACCUGAAACCGUAUGUCUACAAAGUGUCAGAGCAGAGCAAUCUGCGAUGGCGUGCCUUUUGUUUAAUGAGUCUGCGAGUCAGUGUUUGUGGCAAGACUAAGGGCUUCCGGCCCGGAGUCGCAGCGAAAGCAAGUCCGAACAGGGCGCAAUAAGUCGCAGGUACUGGACCCGAAGCGGAGGUGACCUACCCUUGGCCAGGUUGAAGCAUGGGUAAAACCAUGUGGAGGACCGAACAGGUGAACGUUGAAAAGUUCUCUGAUGAGCUGAGGGUAGGAGUGAAAGGCUAAUCAAACCCCGUGAUAGCUGGUUCUCUUCGAAAUGCAUUUAGGUGCAGCGUCACGUGCUGAUGCGCGGGGGUAGAGCACUGACAAGGCUAGGGGGCACACCCGCUUACCAAACCUUAUCAAACUCCGAAUACCGUGCAAUGGAACGUGGCAGUGAGACAGUGGGGGAUAAGCUUCAUUGUCGAGAGGGAAACAACCCAGACCAGCAGCUAAGGUGCCUAAAUAACGCUCAGUGGAAAGGAUGUGGGAUUACACAGACAGUGAGGAUGUUGGCUUAGAAGCAGCCACUCAUUUAAAGAGUGCGUAAUAGCUCACUGGUCGAGCGUCUCUGCGCGGAAAAUUUAACGGGGCUAAGAUACAAACCGAAGCUUAGGCUGCACUUUUAGUGCGGGGUAGGGGAGCGUUGUGUAAGCGGAGAAACAGUAGCGUAAGCGGCUGUGGAGUUUACAGAAGUGAGAAUGCCGGAAUGAGUAGCGCGAAUGAUGUGAGAAUCAUCAUGGCCGGAAACCUCAGGUUUUUGGAGGAAGGUUCGUCCGCUCCAAGUUAGGCGGGAGCUAAGGUGAGGCCGAAAGGCGUAGCCGAUGCACAGACGGUAGAGAUUCCGUCCCCACCGAAAGAUUUAAGCGCAGGGACACUUUUAGAAGGUCGGAGCCAGGUGUUGGUUCUGGUAGAGAUCGAGGGAAGAUUAGUACCGAAGUCCGGCUGGAUAAGAGGCGAGAAAAGCUGCGUGUAUAUCUAAGGUGCCCGUACCGCAAACCGACACAGGUAGGUAGGAAGAAGAUUCUAAGGCCAACGGGAGAAGGGUUGUUAAGGAACUCGGCAAGUUGACCCCGUAACUUCGGAAUAAGGGGUGCUCACGAGAGUGAGCCGCAGAGAAUAGGCCCAGGCAACUGUUUACCAAAAACACAGGUUUGUGCUAAAUCGAAAGAUGACGUAUACGAGCUGACGCCUGCCCGGUGCUGGAAGGUUAAAAGGAGAUGUGCAAGCAUUGAAUUGAAGCCCCAGUGAACGGCGGCCGUAACUAUAACGGUCCUAAGGUAGCGAAAUUCCUUGUCAGGUAAGUUCUGACCCGCACGAAAGGCGUAACGAUUUGGGCGCUGUCUCAGCUGUAGACUCGGUGAAGUCUUAGUACCUGUGAAGAUGCAGGUUACCCGCGACUAG
rnacentral:rRNA from 1 species